GCCCCCUUCGUCUAGUGGCCUAGGAUGCCGCCCUCUCACGGCGGUGACACCGGUUCGAAUCCGGUAGGGGGUA
rnacentral:tRNA from 1 species